UACGUAGGGGCUAGCGUUGUCCGGAUUUAUUGGGCGUAAAGAGCGUGUAGGCGGCCAGGUAGGUCUGCUGUGAAACUCGAGGCUCAACCUCGAGACGUCGGCGGAAACCAUCUGGCUAGAGUCCGGAAGAGGAGAGUGGAAUUCCUGGUGUAGCGGUGAAAUGCGCAGAUAUCAGGAGGAACACCGAUGGCGAAGCAGCUUGCUGACGUGACUGACGCUGAGACGCGAAAGCGUGGAGCAACAGG
rnacentral:rRNA from 1 species